GGACACGAGGCCAGGAGAGCCCAGGGACCCGGCUGCGCGCGCAGGCACCGCCCGGCCUCGCCGCCGCGCGCUUCUCCGGAGCCCCGGGGACCGCGCUCCGCGCGCACCCUCUUCCUGCGAAGGAGUGAACUUGCUGGGAGGCUGGGGCCUCUCGCCGCUCGGUUGUUGCUCCUUUCGCGCUGUUUCUGUUCGGCUUUCGGUGUGAGCAGCUGCCUCGCGUCCUCGGUUCUGGAGCACACAUCUAGAUGUUCUGGGAUCUCUUCUGGAGAAGUUAAAACCCAGACCUGUAACGUUUAUUCCUCGUUUACAGGAAGCGGGGGCGGGAGGGGUGCGUGAGACACCGACCGCGAAAGCGCGCAGCUGCUUGCCUUCUGCCCAAAAGUCGCCCACCAGCCCCUGGCUUCCCCUCCACCGGCCCUUCCCUGGAAACUCCGUCUGGUCGCCAAUAAAGCACGAACCACACCAAGCAAUCAAAAAUCAAUUAUGACUACCAGUGACUUUAUUACUGAUGGUUAGCGGUGAGGCCUCCAAACUGGGCCAAGAUAAUUGAGCUUUUCAAAAAUUUUGCUACCUAAGAUUUUUACUCCUUUCCGCAAAAGGAGAAGCCCAGAGACGUUUUCAGAGUCUGCCAGGAGGGGUCCACGGGUGAAGUGGGAGUUAUUUCUUUCAGUAAAGUUUAUGGCUACUUCUGGUAAAUUAUGGAGCCUUCGUUCCUGACCCCGUCAGGUUGUACAAAAUGUAAUUGAUGGCGGUGUCUGCGGCACUCAGUUUGGAGGUGGAACUGGGACAGGGUGGGGAGGGUUCUUCCUGCAGUUACCCUGGUUGCAGGAAGCUCUGCCGGGCUUAAAGGACACGCUGUGCCUCUGCAGACGUGAGGGCGAUCAGGAGGGCUGGGACCCAAAGGGCCAAGGGAGAGUCAGGAAUUGGCUCCACUUCCUACAUUUUCUCUUUUUCUGCUCAUGGGUUGAGUGGCUUUGGGGUGUCAUGCGCAGACUCACCAAGCGACCUUUUGAAAAAUGAAAAGUUCCUGGGAAUAGUGCGUAGGGUCAGGGGUUACUUCGUGGCUGGUCUGUAGCUGAAGAUGACUGGCCAUUUCUCCUGGCCUGUGUGUGGACAAUCUCCUCACCCAAAGGGGUUCACGCUCCCUCCUGGGGUGGAAGCUCCUGGUGGGCUCCCACGGCGACGGCACAUCUGGCUGCGGUGUCCUUGCCAGGCUGCACGGCGGAGAGACCUGAGCCGCCUGGGAUCAUGCGGUGGAAGUUCAGGCAGUUUCCGGGCACCGCGUCCUCUUGCUGAGACACACAGCAGCCUCCUUCUGGUUUCCACUCUGCCAGAGCUAAUUGCCCUGCAGUGGGGCAUUGCCAAGCAACACUUCGGGGCAGGAAGGGAUCCGCCACAGGGAGGCCUCGGCUCGUGGAUCCAGCCACGACCUUCCCUGCCGACCAAGGGCGAGGCCUUGCGGAGGAGCGCGUGCGGGCCGCUCGAGGCGAGGAAGCCUGGAGCUCCGGCUGGGAUGCGGCGGGGACGUGGGCCUGGGAGCCGAUCACUCGGGCCGAGCUGCAGGAGGCCUCAUGGAGGCCGCUCCCUGCGGUGCGCCGCGCUGUGCCCGAGGUCCCGGUCCCUCCUCCCGUCUGGUGUCCGUGACUCUCGGUCAUUCUCCGCGUGGGACGGUCUCCGGGACAGGCGCGGCGCAGGGUUGCAAGAAGGCAGUUUCCACGCACAGCUGCUCACAGGAGGCAGGCGAGGGGCUCCCGCUCCUCCGCCCUGCCCUGUGUCAUUUGUCUUCGCGGCCUCAGCCUGCACAGGGUCGCUGGAGAAAAUCGUGUACCCCCCGCCAGGAGGGCUCUGUUAUGUAACACAGGGAUUCCUCAGGUUACCUUUUUUGGGUCCAAAUCAGCUAGCCCUGGGGGUUCUAAGGGGUCCUGGAAAGGGAGUGGUGGCUCCAUUCCCUGGGGCUUUCGUGCCCCUCCCGGUAGCUCUAGUCCAAGGCCCAGGAACAAAAGGGAAGGUAACUGAUCUCCCUUUGGGUCUCUCUCGGCCCAGCACUUCCGCCCGCCCUGCAGGCCCUGGCCUGGACACUUCGAGGGAAGUCCGAGGGACUCCGCCCCCAUGUAAACGGCGCUGACCGUCCCAGCGCCUUCUGGCUGAAAAGCAGAAACCCGCUCUGGGUGUGGGCUGCCCGCUGCCCCUGCACUCCCCUUCCCACUGUCCACUCUGCGACACCCCAGGCUAAUCGCUGGACACUCCCUCUCCAGAUGAAAACACUCAGCCUGGGUGUGGAGCUCCGUGGUGAAGGCUUGCGGUGCCCGUAGGAGGACCUGGGUUUGGGCCCAGCACUGCCCACAAGAAUCAUGCAGGACAACUGUUAAAUAGUUCUUGGGAAAGCGAAGGACCUUUCUCUCAGGGUCUAACGUUUUGAAAACCCUGUUUGGCAGAAAUCUCCAGGGCAUACCAAAGAGAAACAACGGCAGAGCACUCUUGAAGUCUGAAAGAUUUCUCCUCUGACAUGUUAGUGAAAAGUCGUUUCUUAAGUGUUAUUUUGUUUGCUGCAGGCUUCAUGGCUUUUCUCCACUAUUGUAUCCCAAAGAUUCUCAAGACCAAGUUACCAAGACAUUUAUUUUCAUCUUGCUGAUUCCUGGGGGAGCCUAUACUUUCUGGUUAGGUCUAGUAAAUUUAUCUUUCCCUCUGCAGGGGAGUUUCCAGCCUUGGAAAGGGAAGUGAAAAGCAGGUUCCAUCCCUGUGUGACCCUCAUCCAGCUCAAACCUUGAGGACUUGUCCAUCCUAGGUAGGAAGGUGGCGGUUUUGACACUUUUUGUUUCAGUGCCAGCACCAGGAGCGCUCUGAAAUGAAGGCCUACCUUCCUUCUUGGAGAAUAGAGCUACUGUGAUUGCCCAGGGAGUCUCCGGCGCGAAACACCUUUUGUCCUUUAAAAAAGAUUAAAAAAUGCUUUUCUCUCCCACCCAGUGUGUGUCCCAUGGUUUUGCAGCAACAGCAAGGAACCUGGAGCAGUGGUAGCUACGCGUGCUGUGCUUUGUCACCAGGUCUGGUACGGGGACUGACGCAGCCCACACAUCACUCAGGUGCAUCCUGGGCGUCUCAUGUUUACUGGACACUCACAGCAUCCCCUGGAGCAGUCACACCCGACCCUGCUUCCUCUGGACAGCUCUUCCCCAGGCAACACCCCUCCGUCAAUCACAGAGAAAGCUAUUUACCCCGGCAAAACUUCCCAAAUGGAGAAAAGACCAGACCCAGGCUCUGCUGGAGAUUGCCUGGCAGCUCUACCUAAGCAGAGCUUCUCCUGGGAGGGGUGUCUGGUGAGUGCUCCAUGACACUGCGAAAAUGACAGCGACUGAGCACAUUCUGCAGAUGCAGUGUGCCUACAUUCUCAGCCAGCUCCCACGACUGAAAUUCUAGUUUUGUUCACAUACACGCACGCACACAGACACACACAAGCACACACACCCCAAUGAGUGUCCCAUCACCAGCAAGCACAUUUCUACUGGGAAACUUUGGUGACUGCAAACAUAACCAGAAAAGUUCUUUUCUGAAGAGUCAAAAAGCAAACAAAAACCUCUCCCUGCAUUUUGGGAUACUUAGAGUGUUGAACACCUCCAGAACCAGAAAUUGGGCAGCCCCCCGCACCAAGAACAGGCCUCCCAACGCUUGGCUAGAACAACAACAAUAGCAGCAGCAGCAGCAGCAGCAGCAGCAGCAGCGAUCUGGCCAGGGAAGAGAGUGAGGGGUCCAGGGGAGGAGUAGGAACCUGGAGGAAAUGGGGUGCUUCAACCUGCGUCUCACAAGGUGUCAGUUGACAAUUAUCAGUAACCCCAACAGACAACUCCAUUAAAAAAAAAAAAAAAGAAAAAGAAAACUUACUACUGCUCUUGAAAGCCGUUAUUUUUUAUAUCGCUUUUAGGACUAAGAUAGAUGAACAAAACAUUGCGUUUCAAGCCAUUUUGAUCUGUAAUUAAAUGGCAGGAUCGGUUUGUAUUCUCCUACGGCUUUUACAGAAGUUGCAGUGAUCCAAAGUCGGGUUGCUGUGUCAGACUGGCAUUUUUAUUAAUGAGAAUACAAAAAGCUUGCAUAUUCUUAGCCCUGCUUGAAUUUAGUUGCUAAGCAACCGGUGUAUGGUAAUUCAUCCGCGAAAUUUAAAUCUUUGAGAAAGGAUCGUGCGUUUUGCUGAAUGGUCGCCACGAGGAAAACAACUUGUGGGACCCACAGCAGCUGCCACGCGGGGCCGCCCAGCCGUGCCGGGCUGAGCAGGGACCAGGCGGCCCAGGGCCACCACCACCGUGCUGGCUGCCGCCCUCCCCGGAGAAGAGCUGGACGCCGGGGGCCUGCCCCUCCUGCUCGCUUCUGGUGACUUCGGACUUCCAUUCAAGGUUUGCACCGCAAACGGGGUCUGCACCUAACCAAGCCCCUGCCCGGGGGCCUCUGGGCCCAGCCUGCGAAUUGACGUGACCCCUCCCCGGGGGCGCACCGCAUUUGCUCGCUAGGGCUGUGCGCGCACGCAUGCACACACACGCAUUGUGCCGCCACAAGAGUGCCUGUUGCCCUCCUCCCAGACCCCUCUGAGGUCACUUCCAGAGCCGACUCCUCCUAGAAGAAGAGGACUCAUCCGAGGCGGCCCGCAGCCCGCCAGAAGGCCAGGCGGCCACCGGGGCCGGCAGUGACAUCAUGUGCGCCUGCUCGGCCGGCUCGCGCCCACGUUUUAGGAUACAGGAACAAACACGGAUGUGAAAUCAAGAAUGAAAGAGAGAGUAAUCUAAUUAAUAGGCCAUGAGCCAGGCUAACAAAAUCAAAGAAUCUGAUUACACCAGGAUCCCUCUUGCUAUCUCCGCUGCUCCCACCCCAGCUCCUCCAGACCCUUGCUAUUUCCUUUCCUAUCCUGGGAAGUUCAGGAGGUAAACGCAGAGCCCUCUGAUUUCCCUAUUGAAAUCAAGACCAAGCCCACCGUGAGGCUCCCCAGGCCAGGAGGUCACGUGGGUGACCUUCAGGCCCAGGGCCCAGCAGAUGACCAAGCCACUGCCAGCAGAGCAGGGAGCCAGGCAGGGACCCGGGUAGGGGACCCCUUCCCCCAGCAACCCCCGGACAGAAACACCUGUGCCGGCUAUCGGUCUCAGGGCUGCCGAGGGGAGGGCUUCUCCUCCCACAGCCAUUUCAAGAGGAUCUUUUAAAUGUGCACCACUCUUCCUUGCCUGGGGUCACCUUGCUUGGGGGUCACCAACCACCCCAAACUCUCCAGCCUCGGUCAACUCUCUCCCCACAGAGAGCUCUGGACCGCGCCAGCUAUUAGGUUUUAUCACCAAAACCGCAUUGCCCUCAUCCGCACAGCCAGCCACACACGUGAAAGAAGAGAAUACUUUAAUUUCUAUCUUUCUGCCUGGAAAAAAGAGAAAGAAAACCGGUCCACCUCCUGAAUAACUAAUUCCAAGUCUGCAACCAGUGCCAAGACUUGUUGCAUCCAUUUUCGAGUUGAUUAAUUACCCUGGAACUUGGGCAAACUAAACUCCAUGUGGAGAGAAUGUUUCUUCCUUCAAUUUAGUUCUGAGAGCUACACGUUAUUGAUGGACCUCACUCUAUUUACAUACAAAUUGGUGCAAGUAUGCCCAUCUCUUCAAAUGCAUUUUAUAUAGAUAUAUAAAAGUGUCAUUUUUGAUUUAGCUUAAAGACGUUGAUCAUUUAUUACAAAAAUAAACGAAUAAAUACAACAAUAUAUUGUUGCUUCCAACAGGAUAAAUACUUUACAAAUAUAUAAUUUAAAAAAACAAAUUUAAUUGUUAAAAUAUUACACUUAUCGAUAAAACUAUCCAUAGUAUAUACUGCAUUGAAUAUUAGAACCAAUUAUUCUCUGAAUGUUGGAAAUCAUUCAUACAAAACAGAUUAUGAGCAGGGUAAUGAACACACAGUGGAUGCUACAUGGAAGAUGCCCCGGGGAAUCUCUGCUAGGAGUGAUGGUGGACAGUUCUGUUUCGGAACAAAGAAGUCCCUGGCUAAGUACUAAAAAAACAAAACAAAACAAAAGAGAGAGCAACCACACCGAAGUGUUUAAAGUACACCUUACAGGACUGAUCGCAGGGACUUGCCAGGGGGCAACAGCUGCAUGAGGAAGGGGACCAAGGCUUGGGCCAGUGACCCAGAGUCACAGGAGACUGUAAACUGUAAAUGGGCCCAGUUUGGGAUUAGCCAGGCCUGGGACAGAACUUGGUCAUUUUCCUUUGGGUUGGAAGGGGAGGGGGAGGGACUGAAAGGGGAGGAAACAAAUGAACACUUUACGAGGCACAAGACACUUGCGCUGCAAAGCAACACAAUGACCAAAUUCAUUAACGAGAUCUGGUGAUAUAUAACAAUAUUUUCAUUAUUUACAUGUGUAACAAUAUACGCCUUAGCACAAAACCUCUCCGUUAUAUCUCCUCUCUUUUGGGUCUCAACCGUGAAAUUUCAUCUUGUAAGUACAUUCAAGGGGUUGAAAAAAUUUUGUAAUAAAGCAUUAGCCCGCUUUAUAAAACGCAAAA